rnacentral:rRNA from 1 species
AACGAACGCUGGCGGCAGGCUUAACACAUGCAAGUCGAACGCAUCCUUCGGGGUGAGUGGCAGACGGGGGAGUAACGCGUGGGAAGGUGCCGUUCAGUUCGGGAUAACCCAGGGAAACUUGGGCUAAUACCGGAUAUGUGCGAGAGCAGAAAGGUUUAUCGCUGAAGGAUCGGCCUGCGACUGAUUAGCUAGUUGGUGGGGUAAUGGCCCACCAAGGGGACGAUCAGUAGCUGGUCUGAGAGGAUGAUCAGCCACAUUGGGACUGAGACACGGCCCAAACUCCUACGGGAGGCAGCAGUGGGGAAUAUUGGACAAUGGGCGCAAGCCUGAUCCAGCCAUGCCGCGUGAGUGAUGAAGGCCUUAGGGUUGUAAAGCUCUUUCGUCCGGGACGAUAAUGACGGUACCGGAAGAAGAAGCCCCGGCUAACUUCGUGCCAGCCGCCGCAGUAA